UUCUGUGUGUUCAGUGACAUCGUCUGUUAGGGGCUUCUUCUUUCUGGAAUAGUUGUCUUUCACACCUCACUGAGUAACACUUAGGUCCUUUCUGUGGUUUCCAUUCACACUCAGCAAGUAGAGUACGGCAACAAAGUGUGGACAAAUGCUGUUAGUGUGAGGAAAUGGGUCUGUAAUGUAUAAUCACUAUAAUGUGUGAUUGUGUUUCAGUGUUACUGGGUCAGGAUGGCAGGAGUGUGAAGUACAUCACUCAGAGUAUCUGUACCUUGAAGGGGUUAACAGUAGAGCUGACCUGCUGUUACACAUAUCCCAGUGGUACAGUCACAACAACCUUCUGGUUCACUAGAAAUGAUGCUGAGGAGAAUCCUGUGACUCUGAGUGAUGAACCAGACUACACAGGUCAUGUGACGUACUGUAGCAACAAGAAGAAUGGCCACACCCUGACAAUCAGAGAUCUGAGAGAGUGUGACUCAGCUAUGUGCAAUGUCCAUCCUGACCCUAACUGGGACACACACCACUGAAAAUGAGGACCAGACACUCUGGCAGUAGUGACACGUUCACAUCUCUUCAGAGAGAUGCUCAGCACUCCGUAUAUCAGACCAUCCAGGGGAGAAAACCACCACAGAACCUGGACUAAAGAGAACCACCACAGAACCUGGACUAAAGAGAACCACCACAGAACCUGGACUGAAGAGAACCACCACAGAACCUGGAC